rnacentral:tRNA from 1 species
AGCUCAGUCUGUAGAGCAUGAGACUCUUAAUCUCAGGGUCGUGGGUUCAUGCCCCAC